rnacentral:rRNA from 1 species
AUGGGCUGCUAUGAUGCCACCAAGGGCAAGUCUGAAGGCAAUCUUAAUCCAGCACAGCUGGAAGCUUUUGAGAAGAUCGAUAUUCUCUUUAAAGGCUCUCUUCUGAGUGUUCUUGAUGACUCCAUUGUGGAUUCGUAUAUGUCGUUUGACAACGGCAAGGACAUGUGGGCUGCGCUCGAGGCCAAGUUUGGUGCCUCGGACGCCGGCAGCGAGUUGUACGUCAUGGAGCAAUUCUAUGACUACAAGAUGAAUGAUGAGUGCUCUGUUGUACAGCAGGCUCAUGAGAUACAGUCGCUCGCAAAAGAACUUGAGUACUUCAAGUGUGUGUUGCCAGACAAAUUUGUUGCCGGAGGUAUCAUUGCCAAGCUUCCACCUUCUUGGAACAAUUUUGCUACUUCCCUGAAACACAAGAGACAGGAGUUUUUCGUUGCAGAUCUCAUUGGUACUCUUGAUGUUGAAGAGAAGGCGAGAGCAAAGGACACACGUGCUCGAGUUGCUGAGGGAGCUUCUAGCGCCCACAUGGUACAGAAGAAGAACUUCCAGCCCAACAAGUUCAAAACAACAAGAACAAAACUUAGGGCAAAGGCAAGUUUGAUACAAAGAACAAGCCGUCACAUUCUACCAACUUCAAGAAGAAUUCUCAUAAGAAAGGGAAGGGACUUUUUCAUGUCUGCGGUGAUCCUAAUCACUGGGCUCCAAAAUGUCCUAAUCGCUUUGAGGAGCGCAAACAUGAGAAGAGCGGUGAUACGUCUCCGUCGUAUCUAUAAUUUUUGA